GUGACAUACGAGCACCCACCUCCUCCCGGGCGCCUCGUAUUCGGCGACGACACCGACCUCCUCCCCGGUGUCGUCGCCACAGAUUACGCAGCGCCGACCUCCUCCCCGGUGCUGUGUUUCAG
rnacentral:sRNA from 1 species